CCUCCCUUGCUGAGUGCACGCGCGACUUCAACG
rnacentral:SRP_RNA from 1 species